AAUGCGGCAAAUAUUUGACAUCUCAUGGUUUGUUGUUUUUAUCAUAUUUUCCACUUUUGGUCGAUGCUUGUCAACAACCAGCGAUAUAGACAGGGACGACAUGAACAGCGGAUAUCUGGCUUGCAAAAAUGAAGGAGGAGAAGUAAUUUCUCAGGUGUUCUGCCUCCCUAACAACUACAGAAAGGAUGUCCCACCCUCUAAUAAGCAAUGAGAUAC